rnacentral:tRNA from 1 species
GCCCAGUUGGCUCAGUUGGUUGAGUGUCUGACUUCAGCUCAGGUCACGAUCUCAUGGUUCAUGAGUUCAAGCCACACACUGGGCU